rnacentral:rRNA from 1 species
UACGUAGGGGGCGAGCGUUGUCCGGAUUUAUUGGGCGUAAAGCGCGCGUAGGCGGCUAGGUAGGUCUGCUGUGAAAACUCGAGGCUCAACCUCGAGACGUCGGCGGAAACCAUCUGGCUAGAGUCCGGAAGAGGAGAGUGGAAUUCCUGGUGUAGCGGUGAAAUGCGCAGAUAUCAGGAAGAACACCCGUGGCGAAGGCGGCUCUCUGGGACGGUACUGACGCUGAGACGCGAAAGCGUGGGGAGCGAACAGG